AUGGCUAUCAUUCUUGCAGUGGAGCAGUGGCGUUCAUACUUACAACACGCAGAGUUUUUAAUCCUCACAGAUCACAGCAGCCUAGCUCAUUUGAAUGACCAACGUUUGCAUAAGCCCUGGCAGCAAAAAGUGUUCACCAAGUUAUUGGGUCUUCAGUUCAAAAUUCAGUAUAAAAAAGGGACAGAAAAUCGAGUUGCAGAUGCUCUGCCGCGCAGACCUUCGCAGGAUGAGCACCUACUAGCUAUUUCCCACCACCAACCAGCUUGGCUUCAGGAGGUGUUGGAUUUAUAUCAAGACAAUACAUCAGCUCAAGAGUUGCUCACUAAACUGGCUGUGCAAAAAGCUGUGGAUGAUAAUUACUCUUUGAGAGAUGGUCUUAUCUGUUACAAAGGGCGUUUGUGGAUUCCAGAAAAUGCUGAACUUAUACUCAAACUGUUGGAUGCA
rnacentral:rRNA from 1 species